UACAGGGGGUGCAAACGUUGCUCGGAAUCAUUGGGCGUAAAGGGCGCGUAGGCGGCAUGGCAAGUGGAUGGUGAAAUCCCUCGGCUUAACCGAGGAACUGCCGUCCAAACUGCUUCGCUUGAGACCGGGAGAGGUGAGUGGAAUUCCCAGUGUAGCGGUGAAAUGCGUAGAUAUUGGGAGGAACACCAGUGGCGAAGGCGGCUCACUGGACCGGUACUGACGCUGAUGCGCGAAAGCGUGGGGAGCAAACGGGG
rnacentral:rRNA from 1 species